CCUACGGGAGGCUGCAGUGAGGAAUAUUGGUCAAUGGGCGAGAGCCUGAACCAGCCAAGUCGCGUGAGGGAGUACUGCCCUAUGGGUUGUAAACCUCUUUUGUCGGGGAGCAAAAGCCGGACGUGUCCGGCUGUGAGAGUACCCGAAGAAAAAGCAUCGGCUAACUUCGUGCCAGCAGCCGCGGUAAUACGGAGGGUGCGAGCGUUAUCCGGAUUUAUUGGGUUUAAAGGGUGCGCAGGCGGAUUUUUAAGUCAGCGGUAAAAUCGUGGGGCUCAACCCCAUCCAGCCGUUGAAACUGGGGAUCUAGAGUGUGCGAGAGGUAUGCGGAAUGCGUGGUGUAGCGGUGAAAUGCAUAGAUAUCACGCAGAACCCCGAUUGCGAAGGCAGCAUACCGGUGCACAACUGACGCUCAGGCACGAAAGCGUGGGUAUCGAACAGGAUUAGAUACCCUUGUAGUC
rnacentral:rRNA from 1 species